rnacentral:rRNA from 2 species
UACGAGGGGGGCGAGCGUUGUUCGGAAUUAUUGGGCGUAAAGGGUGCGUAGGCGGUUUGGUAAGUCUGAUGUGAAAUCUAUGGGCUCAACUCAUAGUCUGCAUCGGAAACUGCCGGGCUUGAGUAUGGGAGAGGUGAGUGGAAUUCCUGGUGUAGCGGUGAAAUGCGUAGAUAUCAGGAGGAACACCUGUGGCGAAAGCGGCUCACUGGACCAUAACUGACGCUGAUGCACGAAAGCUAGGGGAGCAAACAGG